GACGAACGCUGGCGGCGUGCUUAACACAUGCAAGUCGAACGGUGAAAGCGGAGCUUGCUCCGCUGGAUCAGUGGCGAACGGGUGAGUAACACGUGGGCAACCUGCCCCUCACUUCGGGAUAACUCCGGGAAACCGGGGCUAAUACCGGAUAUGACCUCCUUGGGCAUCCUUGGAGGUGGAAAGUUUUUCGGUGAGGGAUGGGCCCGCGGCCUAUCAGCUUGUUGGUGAGGUAGUGGCUCACCAAGGCGACGACGGGUAGCCGGCCUGAGAGGGCGACCGGCCACACUGGGACUGAGACACGGCCCAGACUCCUACGGGAGGCAGCAGUGGGGAAUAUUGCGCAAUGGGCGAAGGCCUGACGCAGCAACGCCGCGUGCAGGAUGACGGCCUUCGGGUUGUAAACCGCUUUCAGCAGGGAAGAAGCCGCAAGGUGACGGUACCUGCAGAAGAAGCACCGGCUAACUACGUGCCAGCCGCCGCUGUAA
rnacentral:rRNA from 1 species